rnacentral:rRNA from 1 species
AUACGGAGGAUCCGAGCGUUAUCCGGAUUUAUUGGGUUUAAAGGGAGCGUAGGUGGAUUGUUAAGUCAGUUGUGAAAGUUUGCGGCUCAACCGUAAAAUUGCAGUUGAGACUGGCAGUCUUGAGUACAGUAGAGGUGGGCGGAAUUCGUGGUGUAGCGGGGAAAUGCUUAGAUAUCACGAAGAACUCCGAUUGCGAAGGCAGCUCACUAGACUGUUACUGACACUGAUGCUCGAAAGUGUGGGUAUCAAACAGGAUUAGAUACCCUGGUAGUCCACACAGUAAACGAUGAAUACUCGCUGUUUGCGAUAUACAGUAAGCGGCCAAGCGAAAGCAUUAAGUAUUCCACCUGGGGAGUACGCCGGCAACGGUGAAACUCAAAUGAAUUGACGGGG